GCAGAAAUAUUUCAUAUAUUUAAUCAACUCGGUUGCAUUACAUGGAACAAGAUAUGAAGAAGACAUUACAUGAUCUCCUAUAUAACCAUGAAAAUGACAUUCUAUAAUGUAAAUGUAAAACUAUCUUGUAGUAGCCCCGCCCUCCAUCUUUGUAUCAACAACUUACCCAUACAGCAUCUUCGUCUUCGUCGCCUUUCAUGCUGGAUGACAAGCUUCUCUAUGAACUUCCUGCAGACCCAUCCUAUGACAUUGUUAUAGGAUGAAUCACCACCACCCUGCCCAUCAUUCAGUACAGGAACUGACUGGCAAAGCGCCACUACAACAGAUUAAAUAAACAUAAUGAAAAUCCGGCAUGAGGAGAUGGAAGCCACAUGUAACACUUAAAUAUUCUGGGAUUGAUAAUUUAUCGAAGGAAGGCUCACAUCAGUUCAGUGUAUCAUAAAUUAUCAUGACAAAUCCUUGUCGUUCCUUAUCCUAGCAGAAGCUCGAUUUAACUGUAACAAGAAUGUAUAACUGUGAACUAGGCAUGCCACUCUGUUAGGCACUUUUAAUUUUGUCACCUCAAUCUUUUUCUUUUAUUUUGCCAUAUGCCGUAAGCCAAACAUACACUUGGACCAUAUAUCUAACACAUAGGCAUGCAUGUCAUAAUGAACAUGGUUCUCUCUUAGUACAAAAAGAGAAGUCUCAUCCUAAGAUCAAAUAUUAGUCAUGUUAAGGCAUCUAGAUUAUAGUAUAAAAAAAUUGUAUAUUGUGUACUGCGAUUGGGUAAUUGCAACUUUAAGAUAGCCACACACUGUUUUUUUGUCCAGCCAACUAAAUAAAGAAGAGUACCUUGAACUAACCUUACAAAAAGAAACCUUGAACUAAGAUAAUGGAAACUGGUUGUGUCAUAUAACUUACAUUCAGGUGUGCAUUUUGUUCCACAAAGCUUCUGCAGACCAACAGAAAUCCCUUUGGCAACAUCCUAUAUGGGUAGUUGGGAAUAUAGUUCGUGGAGAUAAUUUUAACAAACCUGGUUUCAGUGUAUUUUGUCGCCAGUUCCUCAAGGCAAGUCUAAAGCAACC
rnacentral:lncRNA from 1 species